UACUAUGGCUACAGACUUUCAGACUUAACCUCUCAAAUUUUAUAGGACUGCUCCUUUCUAUCAAGGUCUAUAGAUUUUAUCUUGAUGCGUACCUUACUCCUACAGUAGACCAACUAUCGCCAACAUCCACUACAAGGGCUCAUUGAGACCAUAUUUAUGUAUCAAUCAAACUCCAGCAGCCUCACUGUGAGUAGUCGUACCAUCUC
rnacentral:lncRNA from 1 species